rnacentral:tRNA from 1 species
GCCGGUAUAGCUCAGUGGUAGAGCACCUAACUCGUAAUUAGGGGGUCGUGCGUUCAACUCGCAUUACCGGCU